GCAUUUGCUGCUGUCACUUAUGCAAACCUUAUCCUAACUUCUGUGUCGUGUCGACUUGCUGCUCAACACUCCGAGACUUGUGAGCCCCAAAAUGUAGUUUCCUGAUCCAGAUGCUGUGCUUCUCUUCUGAGUAAUGGUCCAGCAGGCAGGAUGCUGGGGACGGCACGGCCAACACAGAACUCUGCUGGAGCAUUGAGCAGGCUGCAGACUCAGAAAACACACCUGAAAAGUAUUUGUCUGCAGUAUCUGCUUCUGAACAGCCAUUGCUUUUGCCUUUUAAAGAAUGGGAUGGGACUAAUCAUCUUCUUCCUAUGUGCCUAUGUACCAAAGACAGAAGCAAGUCAUUGCAAGUGGGCAGAAGUUCUGAAAGAUUUGGAAAGGAUCAAGACGUCCAAAGAUAUUGAUGUCAGUUUAUACACUGCAAAUGCAGAUGAGGAUCUCUCACAGCCCAUCUCUGCAGAUAUUCAGAUGUAUUUGAAUAAUAAGAAAAGAUGCCCAGAAGAAUGCCAAGAACUUGUAUUGAGGUGCUUUUUCUUAGAGACAGAAGUGAUAAUUCAAGAAUGUCGUAUCAAAAAUUGUAGUAAAACACAGGAUGUGUGGAACAUAUGGAAAAAUGGAAAUGAAAGCUUUGAAAAUAAUAAGUUGACUUCCACAAAAUCAGAAAAAUGCAAAGAGUGUGAAGAAUACGAAGAAAAAAAUUUUACAGAAUUUGUACAAAAUUUUGAAAAGGUUAUACAAAGGGAUUGCAAACACUGACCAAAAGACAUAAGCUGGGAAACAAGAUUCUUAGAUGAACACCCUCAGAGAAAUUAAAUUAUCACCAAAAAUAAAACAGAAAAAAAAAAUCUACAAUCUUCUUGGCUAUCUCUUAUUAUAUCUGUUUCUAUUGUGGUUUUCAGGCACCUCCAUUUCUCUAUCUUCAGCUGAUAAAUGGCUGAGUCAUUCAGCUGUCCACUUACCGGGAAGGAAGUUUCAAUCUCAUUAUGGCAACAAACACGCUGCCUGCUCUUCUCUUUUAUUGUUGGGAUGCUCCCAACAGUCAGCCUUUAGCACUCUGAGGAGAUGAAUCCCCAGUAAACUGCAAGAGGAAGAACAUAAAUAUGAGCAUGUGGGAUGUCAUCUUCGGGGGGACUUGUAGACAAACAGGUUGGUAAAUUCAUGAGCGCAUUGAUAUCAGCGUUUAUCACUGGUAGAAAUAUCACAAAAAAGAAACAAAUUAUUUGCCAACAUGAAACAUCAAAACCAGAAGUGUUUAUUACAUAGUUUGCAUGAAAUAAAAUGGUCCUACAUUUUAAAUUUUUCCUUAAUUCGUUGGUAGGUACUGAGUAUGAUUUUUCCUUACCUGAUGUCAUGUGCACAGGAAAGGUAACACCAAGUUACAGCUUUGGUCUUUAGUCAAAGAGGUAAAGGGACUUUCCUUAUUUCUGGCUUUGAGAGGGGGGCAGUAUACCCAUGAUGGGAGAAUCAAAGAGCUGCUUUGCUCAGAAUUUUCUUUAUCUUGACCAUUUUGAAAAUAAAUUUCCUGAUUUUAUUUUGCUUUUCAUUAACUCAUUUACCAGC